CACGUAGGAGGCAAACGUUAUCCGGAUUUACUGGGCGUAAAGCGCGUGUAGGUGGUUCUGUAAGUAGGGCGUGAAAGCUCCCGGCUCAACUGGGAGAGGUCGCUCUAAACUGGCAAGCUAGAGGAUGGAAGAGGGAGGUGGAAUUCCGGGUGUAGCGGUGGAAUGCGCAGAUAUCCGGAGGAACACCAGUGGCGAAAGCGGCCUCCUGGUCCAUUCCUGACACUCAGACGCGAAAGCUAGGGUAGCAAACGGGAUUAGAUACCCGCGUAGUCCCUGAG
rnacentral:rRNA from 1 species